UCUUAGUGCUUCCACUACACCACUUCCU
rnacentral:tRNA from 9 species